UGUUCAGUGGCUUAGUUGGUUAAAGCGCCGGUAUAUCGAAUGUGGAGUCGUGGAUUCGAAUCCCACCAAAACGC
rnacentral:tRNA from 1 species